GGGCGUGUAGCAUAGUCCGGAUAAUGCGACUGCCUCCUAAGCAGUAGACCGGGGGUUCAAAUCCUCCCACGCCCG
rnacentral:tRNA from 1 species